UACGUAGGGUGCAAGCGUUGUCCGGAAUUAUUGGGCGUAAAGAGCUCGUAGGCGGUUUGUCGCGUCUGCUGUGAAAACUCGGGGCUUAACUCCGGGCCUGCAGUGGGUACGGGCAGACUAGAGUGCGGUAGGGGAGAACGGAAUUCCUGGUGUAGCGGUGAAAUGCGCAGAUAUCAGGAGGAACACCGGUGGCGAAGGCGGUUCUCUGGGCCUGUACUGACGCUGAGGAGCGAAAGCGUGGGGAGCGAACAGG
rnacentral:rRNA from 1 species